AUGAUACAGGGAAAUGUUGGAGAGAAAAAUGAUACUCUACUUCUCACAGUUUCAGGUUCCAGAGCCUCAGAAGUCAUCACUCCAAAAAGUGACAGAGUAUUUGCUCUUGAGGGUGUCAAUGUGAUACUCUCCUGUAACUACAGUGGUUCUGCUCGUGGUGUUCACUGGUAUCGAAAAUAUGCAGGUUUACCACCACAGUUCCUCAUACUGGAAGACUCAGGGGUAACAAUUGAAGCUAAUCCACCCAUCCCAGGAAUAACCAUCAAUCACAGAAAAACAGAAAUCCAUGUGGAUCUGAUCAUCUCCUCUGCUAAAGUGUCAGAUUCAGCACUGUACUACUGUGCUCUGCAGCCCACAAUCUUCAGGCCAGUCACGUGA